AACUCAAAGGAUUGACGGGGCCUGCACAAGCGUGGAGCAUGUGUUUAAUUCGAAGCAACGCGCAGAACCUUACCAACGUUUGACAUCCCUAUCGCGGUUUCCAGAGAUGGAUUCCUUCAGUUCGGCUGGAUAGGUGACAGGUGCUGCAUGGCUGUCGUCAGCUCGUGUCGUGAGAUGUUGGGUUAAGUCCCGCAACGAGCGCAACCCUCGCCUUUAGUUGCCAGCAUUUAGUUGGGUACUCUAAAGGAACCGCCGGUGAUAAGCCGGAGGAAGGUGGGGAUGACGUCAAGUCCUCAUGGCCCUUACGCGUUGGGCUACACACGUGCUACAAUGGCGACUACAGUGGGCAGCUAUCCCGCGAGGGUGAGCUAAUCUCCAAAAGUCGUCUCAGUUCGGAUUGUUCUCUGCAACUCGAGAGCAUGAAGGCGGAAUCGCUAGUAAUCGCGGAUCAGCAUGCCGCGGUGAUACGUUCCCAGGCCUUGUACACACCGCCCGUCACACCAUGGGAGUUGGUUUCACCCGAAGGCAGUGCGCUAACCGCAAGGAGGCAGCUGACCACGGUGGGAUC
rnacentral:rRNA from 1 species